rnacentral:rRNA from 1 species
CAGUCGCCGCGGUAAUACGAAGGGUGCAAGCGUUAAUCGGAAUUACUGGGCGUAAAGCGUGCGUAGGCGGUUUGUUAAGUCUGUUGUGAAAUCCCCGGGCUCAACCUGGGAAUGGCAAUGGAUACUGGCAAGCUAGAGUGUGUCAGAGGAUGGUGGAAUUCCCGGUGUAGCGGUGAAAUGCGUAGAGAUCGGGAGGAACAUCAGUGGCGAAGGCGGUCAUCUGGGACAACACUGACGCUGAGGCACGAAAGCGUGGGGAGCAAACAGGAUUAGAUACCCCCGUAGUCCCUGUCUCUUAUAA